GUGGCCUUGUGCUUAGAGUCAGUGUCAUGCUGGAAAGUCCAAGAGGUUCCCAUGCCCAGCCUUCGCCCAGAAGAAUGCAAAUUGUCUGCCAGUAUUUCCUGAUAACAUGCUGCAUUCAUCGUGCCAUCAAUUUUCACAAGGUUACCUAUGCCUUUAGAGCUCACCCCCCUCUCAAAACAUCAGUAAGCCACCACCAUGCUUUACAGUGGGGAUGGUAUUCUUUUCACUAUAGGCCUUGUUGACCCCUCUCCAAACAUAG